CUGAGCGCGGAGGCGGGAGGGUGCCUUGUGGAACACGCAUGAGCCGGCUCCACCUGCUGCAGCUCAUAGUCGGUCUUCUCCACUCCGGUUUUCAAAGAUUCGACUGAUAUACAGGAAACACUCAGCUUUCUCCGGGAGCCAGAAUUUGUGACCAAGAAGGUGGGGGUGUCAGGGCUGCCGGCCCUCCGGAGGAAGCCAGCAGGCAGGUCCGGGGCAGGAGGUGCUGCGGUGCGGGGUCCAGACACGGUCAGACGCUCGUCCCCGGCAGCUGCUGCGGCCUCUGACAAAACAUCGUUCUCUUUUUUUUUUUUUUUUGACCAAAACCCACGAAUAAACAUCGUUCUUCAUCCUUACGCCUCCAAGACCUGCUGGCCCUGCCAGCGCCCGGGACGAGGCGGCAACUGCUCAUCGCGGUGGUGCUGUGGCCCAGGCCGGUCCUGCCCCGUGCACGUGCAGGUGCACCUGGACGCGCAGCACCAACCCCACCCUCGCCCUGUGAAGCGGCCAAGACACUGCGGCCUGAACCUGCUGUUGCUCCACCGCACACACGGCCUUAAAGACCCCGGAGAAGGGAACAUGCCGUAGACAAUGGGGAUUUCCUGACAGGAGCUGCCAAGGGUCCCUUGGGGACAUGUGACUUCCAUACUCGCUUCAGUUCUGUCUGACCUGCGACAGGCACUGUGUUUCCGCACGUUCGGAAGCCAGUUUGUAAGUAAAUUUUGAUUAGAAGGCGGCCAGAUUCAUUUGUUCACGUGCCACCUGCAGCUACUCUUGUGCCAUGGAAGCUAUGCCACCUGCACGGCUGAAAACACACACUGUCGGGUCCUGUGCGGAGAACGUCUGCCGACUCCUGCUCUGGCCGAUGGGAACAUUCGACUGACACGGGCAUCUCAGAGCAACCUGAGGUGCCGAAGCAAACCUAGGGAGGAGCAGCCUGCGCGAUCCUGGGAUGGUUGGAGGGAGGACUCGGGGUUGGGCCCUCCACCCGCAGAAUGGGUAAGUGAACCCGGCAGGUGAGGAGGGGCUGG